rnacentral:lncRNA from 1 species
AUUUAUUUUAGCUGUUUGAGUUGUUGAGUGACUGGUUUAACCAUAGUCAUUUUAUCAAGGUUAGGGAGUCAGUAAUUUUAAUGGGGUUUUAAGGUCUUUUUAAGGAUAGAAAAGGGUAGAAUCCUUAGGUUUUGUAUUUUUUAGAACAAGAAAACGGUAGCUUAGGAAUUGUACAGCUAAUAGAGCAUCUUAGAAGCUCCUAGAAUAGGACUAUUGUGAGAUUUCAAUAUAACUAGCGCGGUAACUUGAGAAACAAGAUAGAAAAGUAGGGAUUAAAAUGAAAAAUGAGAAGGGCCUGAAAAAAAAAGUAAAAAUCUGAGGGUUUCCCUCAUUCUUGCCUAUAUAAUGGCAUCCAAUGCCUUCUAGAAGGGUCUUCAACCUUUUUUCAGACUAAAAAUCUAAAAAGAAAAUUCUUAUUUUUCUUGCAUCUCCAAUUUUGGAUUAGUUUCAGCUUUUAGAUAUACAAAAACAAAACAAAAACACGCAGAAAAAUGAAAAUCCAAAACAAGAAACUUUUUCAUUAGAAUUGCAAUCUAAUUUUGAUAUUCUAGCUCAUACCUUGCAUUUUCUGGUUCUCUUGGUGGUUGAUGAAGUUUCUGCGGGAUUCAUAGUUGAAUUUCGAACAAAAUAUGGGUUCAUUCAGUCUGUUUUGGUUGUCCUUUGUUGCUGUUGAGUUUUCAACUUUGCCUGGGAAUCGUGAGUUGAGUAUAUAUUCUGGGUUUGCUUUUGAUUGGGAUUCCCGUUGAUUGAUGUUAUACCUGUUGCUACUGAUCUUUACUUUCUCCCCUGUUACAUGCCUUUCCAGGUACACAUUUGUACAUCUUGGGCUGUUGGAAAUGAAAUGAAGAAUGAUCCAAGUCUCUUUUGCUUCUUAAUUGUUGAUAGUUGUUUUUUAGUUUAAGUUUUUUUGUUAUUUUCUCUGGUUUUGAGCUAUAUUAGACAGGGGUUUGCUUAAUCAAAAUUAUUUUUCGGUUAAUGUAAAUUUCCUGAAAAUUGGACUCAUGAGUUUAACAUAUAGGUUGUUCGAGUGACUAUUAGUUGAGUGCUAGCAUGUCUGAAUUCAUGUAUUUGAAUAGAAACAGUAGACUAUUAGGUGACUAUUGGUCAUUUAGCCAUGUUAUAGUAUACUCUCAAUUGGUGUAGCUGGUUUAGAAAAAUGGAAAAGAAUAAGAACAGGGGAAUGGGUUUAGAGUACUAGAAAUGGG